rnacentral:lncRNA from 1 species
CCAAAACCCUAGCCUCCCUCUUCCUUUCGCUUGAAGCUUCUACCAUAAGGAUCAAUUAGAUGUUGAUCAAUCAGUACAGAAAUGAAUGUGAUUCGACUAAAGGAAGAUGGUGACGUUGGUUGUGGCCUGAAGAGAAAUGACGACGAAGAAUGGUUGAUUUAGGGUUCUUCAGUUCGGGUAAUGUGAUGGAUGAUUUCGGGAUUCUGAAACCGUAAGUUUUCUUCUUCCGGUUUACACUGAUUUCUUCAUCUGGCGAACUUCCAGAUGGUGAUGGUGGCCUGAAAAGGAACGAUGACAACGGCAUGGGUUGAUUUAGUGUUUCUCAAGUGGUGGUCUUAUGAUGGUUGUUGUUUAACGCAACGACGGAAGGGCGGCGGCUAGGGUUCCACCACAUAACUUUGACCAGUUGUAGUUUCGGCCGGUUAUCGGUAGAUCAACCAGGAAUGAUAUGGUACGAGUUAUGCGAUUUGUUUGGAAUGUACAUGAUAGAUGAAACAAGUUAUGGACCAAAUCAUGUUGCUCUUGCUGAUAAAGACAUAUGAUGGAAUACAUUGUCCUUUUCCCUAACGAUAUCGAAAUGGGUUUGAAGUUUUAUGUAACUAAACCCCUGAAUAUUUCUCAAUAACCUUUCAUUUGAGAGGUCCAAGGUUAUGUUAAAUAUCUUACGGGUCAAACGAGUAUUAUAAUAAACAUGUCAAUGAGCCAAGUAUGUGAAACAUGUAAAAAUUUUCUUAAUUCGCUAUGAUCAGUUUUUAGCUUUCUGUUUUUGAGGUCUAC